rnacentral:rRNA from 1 species
GACGUAGGGGGCCAGCGUUGUUCGGAAUUACUGGGCGUAAAGCGCACGUAGGUGGCGACGUAAGUCGGGUGUGAAAUCCCCGGGCUUAACCUGGGAACUGCAGUCGAGACUGUCUAGCUAGAGUAUGGGAGAGGGAAGUGGAAUUUCAGGUGUAGCGGUGAAAUGCGUAGAUAUCUGAAGGAACAUCAGUGGCGAAAGCGACUUCCUGGACCAAUACUGACGCUCAUGUGCGAAAGCGUGGGGAGCAAACAGG